rnacentral:rRNA from 1 species
AGAGUUUGAUCCUGGCUCAGGACGAACGCUGGCGGCGUGCUUAACACAUGCAAGUCGAACGGUAAGGCCCCUUUUUUUGGGGUGUACGAGUGGCGAACGGGUGAGUAACACGUGAGUAACCUGCCCCAGACUUUGGGAUAACAGUUGGAAACGAUUGCUAAUACUGGAUAUGAGCUGCUGCCGCAUGGUGGUGGUUUGAAAGUUCCGGCGGUUUGGGAUGGGCUCGCGGCCUAUCAGCUUGUUGGUGAGGUGAUGGCUUACCAAGGCUUCGACGGGUAGCCGGCCUGAGAGGGCGACCGGCCACAUUGGGACUGAGAUACGGCCCAAACUCCUACGGGAGGCAGCAGUGGGGAAUAUUGCACAAUGGACGGAAGUCUGAUGCAGCAACGCCGCGUGAGGGAUGACGGCCUUCGGGUUGUAAACCGCUUUCAUCCAUGACGAAGCUUUUGUGACGGUAGUGGGUAAAGAAGCACCGGCUAACUACGUGCCAGCAGCCGCGGUGAUACGUAGGGUGCGAGCGUUGUCCGGAUUUAUUGGGCGUAAAGAGCUUGUAGGCGGUUUGUCGCGUCGGGAGUGAAAACUCGGAGCUUAACUUUGAGCUUGCUUUCGAUACGGGCUGACUUGAGGGAGGUAGGGGAGAAUGGAAUUCCUGGUGGAGCGGUGGAAUGCGCAGAUAUCAGGAGGAACACCGGUGGCGAAGGCGGUUCUCUGGACCUUUCCUGACGCUGAGAAGCGAAAGCGUGGGGAGCGAACAGGAUUAGAUACCCUGGUAGUCCACGCCGUAAACG